rnacentral:rRNA from 1 species
UGAUUAUGGCUCAGGAUGAACGCUAGCUACAGGCUUAACACAUGCAAGUCGAGGGGCAGCAUGGUCUUAGCUUGCUAAGGCCGAUGGCGACCGGCGCACGGGUGAGUAACACGUAUCCAACCUGCCGUCUACUCUUGGACAGCCUUCUGAAAGGAAGAUUAAUACAAGAUGGCAUCAUGAGUCCGCAUGUUCACAUGAUUAAAGGUAUUCCGGUAGACGAUGGGGAUGCGUUCCAUUAGAUAGUAGGCGGGGUAACGGCCCACCUAGUCUUCGAUGGAUAGGGGUUCUGAGAGGAAGGUCCCCCACAUUGGAACUGAGACACGGUCCAAACUCCUACGGGAGGCAGCAGUGAGGAAUAUUGGUCAAUGGGCGAGAGCCUGAACCAGCCAAGUAGCGUGAAGGAUGACUGCCCUAUGGGUUGUAAACUUCUUUUAUAAAGGAAUAAAGUCGGGUAUGGAUACCCGUUUGCAUGUACUUUAUGAAUAAGGAUCGGCUAACUCCGUGCCAGCAGCCGCGGUAAUACGGAGGAUCCGAGCGUUAUCCGGAUUUAUUGGGUUUAAAGGGAGCGUAGAUGGAURUUUAAGUCAGUUGUGAAAGUUUGCGGCUCAACCGUAAAAUUGCAGUUGAUACUGGAUAUCUUGAGUGCAGUUGAGGCAGGCGGAAUUCGUGGUGUAGCGGUGAAAUGCUUAGAUAUCACGAAGAACUCCGAUUGCGAAGGCAGCCUGCUAAGCUGCAACUGACAUUGAGGCUCGAAAGUGUGGGUAUCAAACAGGAUUAGAUACCCUGGUAGUCCACACGGUAAACGAUGAAUACUCGCUGUUUGCGAUAUACUGCAAGCGGCCAAGCGAAAGCGUUAAGUAUUCCACCUGGGGAGUACGCCGGCAACGGUGAAACUCAAAGGAAUUGACGGGGGCCCGCACAAGCGGAGGAACAUGUGGUUUAAUUCGAUGAUACGCGAGGAACCUUACCCGGGCUUAAAUUGCAGAUGAAUUACGGUGAAAGCCGUAAGCCGCAAGGCAUCUGUGAAGGUGCUGCAUGGUUGUCGUCAGCUCGUGCCGUGAGGUGUCGGCUUAAGUGCCAUAACGAGCGCAACCCUUGUUGUCAGUUACUAACAGGUUCCGCUGAGGACUCUGACAAGACUGCCAUCGUAAGAUGUGAGGAAGGUGGGGAUGACGUCAAAUCAGCACGGCCCUUACGUCCGGGGCUACACACGUGUUACAAUGGGGGGUACAGAGGGCCGCUACCACGCGAGUGGAUGCCAAUCCCCAAAACCUCUCUCAGUUCGGACUGGAGUCUGCAACCCGACUCCACGAAGCUGGAUUCGCUAGUAAUCGCGCAUCAGCCACGGCGCGGUGAAUACGUUCCCGGGCCUUGUACACACCGCCCGUCAAGCCAUGGGAGCCGGGGGUACCUGAAGUGCGUAACCGCGAGGAGCGCCCUAGGGUAAAACUGGUGACUGGGGCUAAGUCGUAACAAGGUAGC